rnacentral:rRNA from 1 species
CAGUCGCCACGGGAAUACGAAGGGUGCAAGCGUUAAUCGGAAUUACUGGGCGUAAAGCGUGCGUAGGCGGUGAGUUAAGUCUGCUGUGAAAUCCCCGGGCUCAACCUGGGAAUGGCAGUGGAUACUGGCUCGCUAGAGUGUGUCAGAGGAUGGCGGAAUUCCCGGUGUAGCGGUGAAAUGCGUAGAGAUCGGGAGGAACAUCAGUGGCGAAGGCGGCCAUCUGGGACAACACUGACGCUGAGGCACGAAAGCGUGGGGAGCAAACAGGAUUAGAUACCCCGGUAGUCCCUGUCUCUUAUAC